rnacentral:rRNA from 1 species
CCUACGGGUGGCAGCAGUGAGGAAUAUUGGUCAAUGGCCGAGAGGCUGAACCAGCCAAGUCGCGUGAGGGAAGAAUGUCCUAUGGAUUGUAAACCUCUUUUGCCAGGGCGCAAAGUCACCCACGUGUGGGUGUUGGAGCUUACCUGAAGAAAAAGCAUCGGCUAACACGGCGCCAGCAGCCGCGGUAAUACGGAGGAGGCGAGCGUUAUCCGGAUUUAUUGGGUUAAAGGGGUGCGUAGGCGGGUUAUCAAGUCAGCGGUAAAAUCGUGGAGCUCAACUCCAUCCAGCCGUUGAAACUGAUGAUCUUGAGUGGGCGAGAGGUAUGCGGAAUGCGUGGUGUAGCGGUGAAAUGCGUAGAUAUCACGCAGAACUCCGAUUGCGAAGGCAGCAUACCGGCGCCCGACUGACGCUGAAGCACGAAAGCGUGGGGAUCGAACAGGAUUAGAUACCCGUGUAGUC